rnacentral:lncRNA from 1 species
GAGGAUAAAAGGUUGGUUUAUCGAGGAAACAAAAUUGAAACACGAGCGACAUCUGUUCUCAAAAUUGAAAAAGAAAACCUAAAAAGAGAGGAAGAAAUCAUGUCCUCCAUUCUAACGCGUUUAUGAUCAUAAGUUACAUUCAGUCCGUUGAGAGAUAUUAACGACAACUCCCCGUCGUCUAUCGCAUUUCCAAUCUCCCGGGCUUCUUCCGUCAUUGCCGCCGCAAAAUAUAAUCAUCUGUAGAGAUCGAGGUCGCUUUGCGAAAAGUUUGUAUCUGAUUCUUCAGCUGCAAGAUUCUGGAUUUUGAACACACGCCACGUCAUAGGAAGUUGAUACGAGGCGGGUAGAACUGGCUGGAAUAAUAGAAGACCUGAAGAUGAACCACGAGCUCAGUGAAGAGGUCGCCGGAGAAGAAGAAAUCGAAGAAAAAGACAACGACCAAAGAAAGAGGGGAUUAGGUCAGAGCAGCCAAGUGAGGGAGAACCGAUCCAAGAGGGCUCCAAACUGGACUGCCGACUAUAACAUGGGCAGGUAAUUUAGAUAAGGGUUAAUUUACAGUGAGAUCCUUAAGUUUAGAUUAAUUGUGUUAUUUGUUUGUAUAGUUUUAAUUGGUUAAUUUAUAUUAUGUACCUUAUGUAACUACCCCUAUAAAGGGUCUAUUUGUAGAUAUUUUAUUUAUCGAAUAAAACUAAAAUUUCCCCAAAUUCAUUUCCUCCUCUCCACUCCAUAACCGCCGACCAUUCACAAAUCCAUCCGUUCACCAGUCCGUUCAUCAUCGAGACCACUUCCGACGCCUCCACUCACCGUCCUUCAGUCUCCGUCCGUCGCCGUCUGGUUAUUUCAUAACAGAAACUCUGUUCUCAUCGUCUCUGCCUACAAAAUCUGAUUUGAAUCUAUAUUAACCAAUUUUCAGUUCUUCUCCGUUGAUUAAUUCCGGCCAGAAGUUAGUCUCCGUUUGGGUUAAUUCCGGCUAGAAAUUCUGUCUCCAUCUUCACUGUCUACGAUACCGGAUUUGAUCCCGUAUCAACUGGUUCUUUCAAUCUAUUGUUUACUCAUUCUUUCAAAAAAAUGACAAAUGUUCCACACAACUUGUCGGAGGGCAUGGAAGCAACUGUCAAGAGACUCCAGACAUUUCAGAUGUCCCAGACAAGUUAACUGUCUGAUCUGAGGAAGUCACUGAAUCACAACGUACUGGAAUUAGGGAAGCAAAUCUCUGAUUUAACUUCACUCAUUACCAACAAGCAAGAGAUUCUACAUAAUAAACAGACAGGAGAAUCAUCUUCUGCCCAAAUGAAUAUGAGCAGUGAACAGGAGGAAACUACUGUUGAUCCAGAGCGACCUGCUUAUGCUGUGAGUAUGUAUGGUAAUGCAAAUUAUACUCCGUCUAAACAUAUCAAGUUUGAUAUGUCUAAGUUUAACGGGAAGGACCCUGAGGCCUGGAUCUUUAUGGCCCGGAGGUUUUUCAUUUUUUAUAACACCCCUGAAGAUCAGAAACUCAUUAUAUCAUCAUUCAACAUGGUCGAUGUUGCUUUGAAAUGGUUUAUGUGGAUGGAGUCCAGUAACUAUUUAAUCACUUGGCCGGCAUUCGUCAAAUCAUUGCUAAAAAAAUUUAACCCCACCACUUACACAAUUCCUGGUGGAAGAUUAAGCAAGAUUUCUCAGGUGACUACAGUUGCUGAAUUUGUGACAAGGUUUGAAGACUAUUCUUCAAAAGUGGUUGGUAUUAUUGAUUGGCUACUGUUAGAAAUGUUUAUUUUAGGUUUAAAAGAUGAAUAUUUAACAGAGGUAGUUAAGGCCAAGCUUACAGACAUUCAAGAGGCUAUGGAAUUGGCUGUACAUCUGGAAAACCAAGGUUCUGUGGGCUACAAAUCUGGUGGGUAUAGACCAAAUCCAGGAAGAUCUUUUAUUGGCAAAACUUCUGAAAAUAUGAAUUAUGGCAGCAACAUUGCAAUCACUAAUCAGCCUUUUGCAGCAAAUAAAACAACCCCAAAUGCCCCUGUUUUUAAAAGACUAUCUCCUGCUGAGAGAAGGGAGAGGACUGCCAAGGGUCUUUAUUUCAAUUGUGAAGAAAGCUUUACUCCAGGUCACAAAUGUAAGGGCAAGUUAUUCAAAUUUUCGGCAGAAGACAACACAUUAUAGGAAUUAGAAGGGGAGGAAGCUGAGAUUGAAUGCACACAUGAAGAGGAGGAGCAAAUUAUUGUAGAAGGGGAAGCUGAUACUGAAAUCAGUUUACAGGCUUACCAAGGUAAAAUAAGGCUCAUAACUAUUAGGCUUGAAAGCUUCAUAAAAAGCCAAAGUGUAAGCGUACUAGUAGAUCCAGGGUCCACUCACAAUUUCAUGCAAGUGGAUGUGGCUGCAAGACUUCACAUGGUGGUACAAGCAAUUAAUCCAUUCAGAGUUUCCACAGGCAGUGGGGAGAAGUUAAUAUAUGAUAAAGUUUGCAAACAAAUUCAGAUCAAGAUCCAAGAAGUAGUAAUUUCUAUUGAUCUGUUUCUAUUACCUAUGGCAGGAUCAAACAUAGUCAUUGGCACCCAAUGGCUCAAAGAGUUGGGGGAUGUGAUCUCUAACUAUAAGGAGCUUUGUAUGAAAUUUGAAUGGGAAGGAAAAAGAGUAAUAUGGAGAGGGAUUUCUUGGCUAAAUAGUGAACCACUUACAAGUGGACAACUAAAGUCAUUACAUGUCUCUACUUCUGAAGCAUACUUAUGUUAUUUUGAAUAUAUUGAAGAACCAAGUAUAAACAGUUUAUAAAUUUCAAAAUUGACAGUUGUAAACCAGGUAGUAGAAGUUUUCUCUAAAAUAUUUGAAGAACCCAAAGGAUUACCACCACAAAGAGCUAUUGAUCACUUUAUACAUUUACAACAUAAUUCCAAUCCUAUAAAUGUAAGGCCAUAUAGAUUUCCCCAAUUUCAGAAAGGGGAAAUUGAGAAGCUAGUUAAAGAAUUAUUAAAUCAAGGAACUGUGAAACCUAGUACUAGUCCUUACUCAUCUCCUGUGUUGCUGGUCAAAAAGAAAGAUGGAGGUUAUAGACUUUGCGUAGACUACAGAGCCUUGAAUGCAAUCACUAUCAAAGACAAAUUUUCAAUCCCUACAGUUGACGAAUUAUUGGGAGAGUUGAAGGGUGCUGUCAUCUUCUCAAAGUUAGAUUUAAGAUCAGGUUUUCACCAGAUAAGAAUAAAUCCCAAUGAUACUGAAAAAACAGCCUUUAUGACACAUCAGGGACACUAUGAGUUCUUGGUAAUGCCCUUUGGGCUUACAAAUUCCCCAGCCACAUUCCAAGCAGCCAUGAACAGGGUUUUUCAGAGGUAUUUAAGGAAGUUUGUGAUCAUUUCUUUGACGAUAUUUUGGUGUAUAGUACUUCUGUUUCAGAUCAUGUUAAACAUCUAGAGUUUAUUUUUUGAUCUAAUGAAAGAAAACCAAUUGUUAGCUAAGAAAUCCAAGUGUUGUCUUGGCCAAGAAACUAUGGGAUUUUUGGGCCACAUUAUUAGCAAGGAUGGGGUAAAUCCUGAUCCAGCAAAGAUUUCAGCCAUGUUAGAGUGACCUACACCUAAAUAUCUAAAGCAACUAAGAGGAUUCUUAAGACUUACAGGUUACUAUAGAAAAUUCAUCAAAGGGUAUGCUCAAAUUGUUUCAUCCAUGACAGAUUUAUUAAAGAAGGAUUCCUUCUCCUGGUCUGAGUUAGCUACCAAUAGCUUUGACAGGUUAAAGGAGGCCAUGACUAAGGCUCCAGUGCUUAAAUUUCCAGAUUUUGAUAAAGUUUUUACUGUGGAAACUGAUGUUUUUAAUACAGGAAUUGGUGUAGUUCUUCAACAAGAGGAGCACCCUAUAGCCUUCUAUAGUAAAAAAAUAGGGGGAAGAAUGGCUUCAGCAUCUAUAUAUAUCAAAAAAAUGUUUGCUAUCACCCAAGCUGUGGGUAAAUGGAGGCACUACCUAUUGGGUAAUCAUUUUGUGAUCAAAACAGAUCACAAAAGCUUAAAAAAUUUGUUAACACAGGUAAUCCAGACACCCGAACAACAAGUUUUCCUUUGUAAAUUGCUGAGCUACGAUUUCACAAUUAUUUACAAACCUGGCAAGGAUAAUAAGGUUACAGACGCUCUGUCCAGAUGUUAUGAUAAAGAAGAAAUUAUAUUCAGUAACAAGGCUGAUAACCACAAAGGCUCCUUAUUAGCACUAACAGCUCCUAUUUGUUCCUUAGUAGAAGAGAUGAGAAAGGAAAAUGAAACAUCGCCAGAAACUCAACAAUUAAUUGCCAAUAUCAGUUCAGGAUCUAAAAAAACCCAAAACUACACUUUUAAGGAUGGGUUAGUGCUUUACAAGGGCAGGUAUUACUUGAAAAACACUUCUGUUAUAAUUCCAAAAAUAUUGAAAGAAUUCCAUGAUUCACCAUUGGGAGGCCACUCCGGUAUAGAAAGAACUAUCAGAAGAAUUACAAUUCAAUUUUGGUGGCAAGGUAUGACUAAUGAUAUCAGAAUUUAUGUUUAAAAUUGUUUGACUUGUCAACAGAUGAAGCCCCUUGAUCAGAAAGCAUUCGGGCUGUUAAUGCCUCUGCCUAUUCCUCCUUCUAUAUGGCACGACUUAUCUGUUGAUUUUAUCAUAAAUUUUCCCAAGGUUCAAAACAAAACUGUGAUCAUUGUUGUGGUAGACAGACUAUCCAAAUCUUGUCACUUAGGAGCACUUCCAACAAAUUACACUGCUUACAUGGUAGCUGAAUUUUUUGUGCAAGAGGUAGUAAGGUUGCAUGGAUACCCAAACUCAAUAGUCUCUGACAGGGAUAAAGGUUUUCUCUCAAAAUUCUGGAAAGAGUUAAAUAAGCUUAGUGGGACAACUCUGAAUUUUUCUACUGUUUACCACCCUCAGAGUGAUGGCCAAACUGAGGUGGUUAAUAGAAGCAUCGAGAUGUAUUUAAGAUCUCUAGCCCACGAGGAUCCAAAAAAAUGGCUUUCUCUACUUCCUUGAGCAGAGUUUUGGUUCAAUACCAAUUACAACUCCUCUAUCGGACAAACACCAUUCCAAAUAUUAUAUGGAAAGGAAGCUCUUAUUUUACCAAACUAUAUCGAAGGUAGUUCUUCUAUUGAUGCUGUGGACAGAGAAUUAAGUGAUAGGGAAUAUGCUUUGGAGUCAAUGAAAAAUAAUUUAAUCAAAGCCCAAAAAAGGAUGAAGUCAAAUGCUGAUAAACAUAGACAGGAAAUACAGUUUAAUGUGGAUGAUUGGGUGUUGGUCAGGUUAAAGCGCUACAGACAAUCAUCAGUGGCAGUUCGACUACAUAACAAACUAAAUAAGAAAUAUUUUGGUCCCUACAAAAUCAAAGAAAAAAUCAGCAGGGUUGCUUACAGAUUAUCUCUGCCUCCGGGAAGUCGAAUUCAUAACACAUUUCAUAUAUCCUUGCUGAAGAAAUUCAUUGGCAGCCCACCUGAAGAUAAAGAUUUGACACCUUUAAUAGCGGUAAAAAAUAACCCUGUUUUGAUUCCUCUAGCUAUUAUAGAUUAUAGGAUUGUCUACUGGAAGGGAGUGCGAUUUCAGAAAGCUCUGGUCUAGUGGGACGGAGAACCAGUUGAAGAUUCCUCGUGGGAAGAUGUUACAACUCUGCGCAAGUCUUUUCCCUCAAUACACCUUGAGGACAAGGUGGUUUUCCGAGAGGGAUACCAUGAUACGAGGCGGGUAGAACUUGCUGGAAUAAUAGAAGACCUGAAGAAGAACCACGAGCUCAGUGAAGAGGUCGCCGGAGAAGAAGAAAUCGAAGAAAAAGACAACGACCAAAGAAAGAGGGGAUUAGGUCAGAGCAGCCAAGUGAGGGAGAACCGAUCCAAGAGGGCUCCAAGCUGGACUGCCGACUAUAACAUGGGCAGGUAAUUUAGUUAAGGGUUAAUUUGCAGUGAGAUCCUUAAGUUUAGAUUAAUUGUGUUAUUUGUUUGUAUAGUUUUAAUUGGUUAAUUUAUAUUAUGUACCUUAUGUAACUACCCCUAUAAAGGGCCCAUUUGUAGAUAUUUUAUUUAUCGAAUAAAACUAAAAUUUCCCCAAAUUCGUUUCUUCCUCUCCACUCCAUAACCGCCGACCAUUCACAAAUCCAUCCGUUCACCAGUCCGUUCAUCAUCGAGACCACUUCCGACGCCUCCACUCACCGUCCGUCGCCGUCUGGUUAUUUCAGAACAGAAACUCUAUUCUUAUCGUCUCUGCCUACAAAAUCUGAUUUGAAUCCAUAUUAACCAAUUUUCAGUUCUUCUCUGUUGAUUAAUUCCAGCCAAAAGUUAGUCUCCGUUUGGGUUAAUUCCGGCCAGAAAUUCUGUCUCCAUCUUCACUGUCUACGAUACCGGAUUUGAUCUCGUAUCAGAAGUCUUUUUUCCAAUCACUUGAGACAACAUCGAAAAGGCGUUAAUCCUGCUGAACUAACAAUGGUUUUGUCUCUGUGAACACCAAUAGUUCAUAUAACUCCCUCAAAUGUGCUAGGGUAUGUGCCUUCCAAUGUGAAGUAAUUUGAUCGAUCAAUUCUCACACUGUUGAGAUGCUUUAUUUUAAUUAACGCCAGUUAUCAAGUAUUUGAUGCAAUCAACGACGUUGUCGGUAUCGAUCCAGUUGUUGUAGGUGGUGUGGAAGUCUGGUGAUACACAACCGACCGGAACUACUUUCACAGACGAGGAGAUUACGAUAUUCACGGGAGGAAUGCUAGAAGCCGACGAUAAGAUAAUAGAAGAGAGCAAGGACGAGAGGGAGGCGAGAUUGACACGAACCAACAAGCGAGCUCAGGUCGCGCCCAGGUGGACAAAGGAUUAUGACUUAAGCGGACCCAAAGCGUGAUUCCAAAUAAUGGAUUGGGAUAACACCAAUACCAACUACCCAAGGGGUAGUUUCCUAAAUUUUCCUAAGCUUUUUCCACCGCCUCACAUUUUGUAAAAUCCCCAUUAAUAUAACCGACUUAUGAGGCUAUAUAUAGCCAUACAUGUAACUUACUUUAGUAAGAAAUAUUACAUACAAUUUCACUGCCGUCAUCUUAAUUUUACCGCCUCCAUCCUCACGUUCCACAACCCAUCUUCCUAACGCAUCCGACCACCGGCCGAGCUUCCGUCCAUCGUGGCCCAGCCCUCCGUUCGUCGUAGCAUCUUCGCCACAGCUCCCUCGACCUUUCACGAACCUUCCUCUGAAGAGCCAGCCACCAUCGGUCUCUCCAACGAGGAAUCCAGUGAUA